GAUGAACGCUAGCGGGAGGCCUAACACAUGCAAGCCGAGCGGUAUUGUUUCUUCGGAAAUGAGAGAGCGGCGUACGGGUGCGUAACACGUGUGCAACCUGCCUUUAUCUGGGGGAUAGCCUUUCGAAAGGAAGAUUAAUACUCCAUAAUAUAUUGAACGGCAUCGUUUAAUAUUGAAAGCUCCGGCGGAUAGAGAUGGGCACGCGCAAGAUUAGCUAGUUGGUGAGGUAACGGCUCACCAAGGCGAUGAUCUUUAGGGGGCCUGAGAGGGUGAUCCCCCACACUGGUACUGAGACACGGACCAGACUCCUACGGGAGGCAGCAGUGAGGAAUAUUGGUCAAUGGGUGCAAGCCUGAACCAGCCAUCCCGUGUGAAGGACGACUGCCCUAUGGGUUGUAAACUUCUUUUGUCUAGGGAUAAACCUACCCUCGUGAGGGUAGCUGAAGGUACUAUACGAAUAAGCACCGGCUAACUCCGUGCCAGCCGCCGCAGUAA
rnacentral:rRNA from 1 species